CGUGCCGGAUUCAAAGGCCAGUACAUCCACCCGUCGGCGAUCGCCUCGCAUGUACUAGCUCCGCCCGCCAGCCUACCGAUCCCGUGCCGGCCUACCGCCUCCCACCUCCACCCCCUCCACCACUCCCACCGCCCGCCGCCCACCGCCUCGAUCCUGCUGCCCACCGCCCCGAUUCGCGCCGCCGUCAUGCCGCUGCUGCUCGGAUCUUCGCGGAGAUUCUUCACCUGCAAGAGCCGACGCGACCAGCUCUGCUCGCCGUCCGAUGGGUCGCCGCGACCAGCUCCACCUCCGUGCGGAGGGGCCGCCACGACCAGCUCCACCUUCGGCCGCCGCUCCACUCGCCGUCGCAGGGGCCGCCGAGACCAGCUCCACCUCCGGCGGAGGGGCUGCCUCUCCGCUCAUCGUUGCAGGGGCCGCCGCGACCAGCUCCACCUCCGGCUGCCGUCCGCCCCUCCGCUCGCCGUCACGGGGGCCGCCCAGACCAGCUCCACCUCCGGCCGCAACUCUGCUCGCCGUUGCGGGGGCCGCGGCUAGCAGUUCCACCUCCGGCCGAUGCUCUGCUCGCUAUUGCAGGGGGCGCCGCCCUUCUCGCCGUCGCUUCAACGACGGAGGUGACGCGCAGGAUAUCGCUAGCAUUCGCGAACACACGCAGGGGCUCCGUGCCUUGUGCUCGCCGUCGCUGCAACGAUGAAGGCGACGCCCAGGAGCUCCGCCCCCGCCAUCGUGUCCGGCUCGCUGGUGCAGAUUGCAGAAAAGUUUAAUUCGAGUAAAUGGGCACCUGACAUGAAGGAGGCGGUCGAAGAGCUGCAGGGAGUAGACGCCCUCCUAUAGGCGAAGCUUAACUAAUUUUCAUGGCAUUUAUAGUGUCGAGGCUUGCUUUGGCCUGCCAAAUUUCUGCAGCAGUCUAUCUUCAUGCUGGAGCUUGCCGCGUCGAGUGGUUGCGGCUUAGAUAGGGGUUUGCCUGUGCUAUACAUUAAGCAGUCCAUCUGCACGGGUGAACAAUAUCAUCUCCAGGGAUGAGGGUGGCCGGAGCUCUUUCUAAGGGGCCAGUCACCUCCUGGAGUCGAUUGACAUGGACCUCAUGAAGACGGUCUACGUCGCGAUCGAUGAGGAGAAGCUCGAGCCACCGGUGUGCCUGGUGCGAGGGCUGUCGGUGCAAGGUACAUUCCUGGAUGAUCUUUUGCUCCGUGUUACGGGCAUGAAGGCGAGUGCGGUGGUCUGUGAUGGCGGUGCUGAAGUCUUGGCUGAAGUGGCCAAAAUUAGAUAUAUGUGUUUGAUCUCAUGUCGAUGAUGAUUUUCAAUUAAACCGCAGCAGUAUCUCGGUGUGAAGAGGGGUGCGACGGAGAUAAAACAACAUCCAUUCUCUGAGGGCGUGAACUGGGAUCUCAUCCAUUGCAGCACGCCUCCUGGGGUACCAAGGCCCGUGGAAGCAGAGCUUCCCAUGAAGUACAUGAUGCCAGUAGCCAUCGCCAACAACAACAAGAGGGCGGUAGGGGCAUGAACACGAAGUUCCGGAGGGAAGUACCUUGACUUUUGAGUUCUUUUAGAGUUGUGCCUAGCGGUAGAGCUAUUGCUUGCAUACUGUUUGAGUUAGGUCAGUGUGGUGUUGUGAUUUGAUGCGGUUUUGUUUGUGUCAUCACUGUUACUUACAAACUUCUUGCAUCUAAAGUGGCCAAAAUUAGGUUGAUGUGUUUGAUCUCAUGUUGAUGAUGAUUGCCUUUCUUCAAA